rnacentral:rRNA from 1 species
UACAGAGGUCUCAAGCGUUGUUCGGAUUCAUUGGGCGUAAAGGGUGCGUAGGUGGCGCGCUAAGUCAGGUGUGAAAUUUCGGAGCUUAACUCCGAAACUGCAUUUGAUACUGGCGUGCUUGAGGACUGGAGAGGAGACUGGAAUUUACGGUGUAGCAGUGAAAUGCAUUGAGAUCGGAAAGAACACCAACGGCGAAAGCACUCUGCUGGGCCGACACUGACACUGAGAGACGAAAGCUAGGGGAGCAAAUGGG